GCCGUUUUAGAUCGUGUUAAUUUUGGUUUGCGUUGAUGCAAACAGAUGCUUACUGUGAAACUGUUGGUUAAUAUACUGUUGAUCGACCAUUAUCGAUGUAUGCAAUUCUGAGGUGCUGUGGAGUUGUUGCCCCCUGUUCUCUGAAUCCUCUUGUGACUUCUGUUCUCUGAAUCCUCUUGUGACUUCUGUUCUCUGAAUCCUCUUGUGAUUUUCUCUGUGGCGGAUAGAGGUUCUGUGGCUGUGGUUGUUUGAAUUUUCGUCGGAUGUGGUGGGGAAUUUGAUUUGGACACGCUCGUGAUGGUGAUCUCUGUAACAGGACAAAGAUGAGCGGUAGGUGCAGGGAACGGAUCC
rnacentral:lncRNA from 1 species